UUGCAAACUAGAUCACUGGCUCUGCAUGCGGUUGCAGAAGCAAGGGGAACACGUUUGCUAUAUAAACUGAUGUGGAAAAAUGAGUUGCUCUGGAGUCCAAUUUCUUCGGCUUUCAUUUUUCUACACAACAUGU